rnacentral:rRNA from 1 species
UGGUACAGUUAUUAAGGGGGCCGGGCGGAGGCCUUGGCACUAGGAGCCGAUGAAGGACGUGAUAAGCUGCGAUAAGCUUCGGGGAGUUGCACGUAAACUUUGAUC